rnacentral:rRNA from 1 species
GUGCCAGCCGCCGCGGUAAUACGGGGGGUGCAAGCGUUACUCGGAAUCACUGGGCGUAAAGAGCAUGUAGGCGGAUUAAUAAGUUUGAAGUGAAAUCCUAUAGCUUAACUAUAGAACUGCUUUGAAAGCUGUUAAUCUAGAAUGUGGGAGAGGUAGAUGGAAUUUCUGGUGUAGGGGUAAAAUCCGUAGAGAUCAGAAGGAAUACCGAUUGCGAAGGCGAUCUACUGGAACAUUAUUGACGCUGAGAUGCGAAAGCGUGGGGAGCAAACAGGAUUAGAUACCCUGGUAGUCCACGCCCUAAACGAUGUACACUAGUUGUUGUGAGACUUGAUCUUGCAGUAAUGCAGUUAACACAUUAAGUGUACCGCCUGGGGAGUACGGUCGCAAGAUUAAAACUCAAAGGAAUAGACGGGGACCCGCACAAGCGGUGGAGCAUGUGGUUUAAUUCGACGAUACACGAAGAACCUUACCUGGACUUGACAUAGUAAGAACUUUCUAGAGAUAGAUUGGUGUCUGCUUGCAGAAACUUAUAUACAGGUGCUGCACGGCUGUCAUCAGCUCGUGUCGUGAGAUGUUGGGUUAAGUCCCGCAACGAGCGCAACCCUCGUGUUUAGUUGCUAACAGUUCGGCUGAGAACUCUAAACAGACUGCCUACGCAAGUAGGAGGAAGGUGAGGACGACGUCAAGUCAUCAUGGCCCUUACGUCCAGGGCUACACACGUGCUACAAUGGGAUAUACAAAGAGCGGCAAUACGGUGACGUGGAGCAAGUCUUAUAAAAUAUCUCCCAGUUCGGAUUGUAGUCUGCAACUCGACUACAUGAAGUUGGAAUC